UACGUAGGGUGCAAGCGUUGUCCGGAAUUAUUGGGCGUAAAGAGCUCGUAGGCGGUUUGUCGCGUCUGCUGUGAAAACUCGGGGCUUAACCCCAGGCCUGCAGUGGGUACGGGCAGACUAGAGUGCGGUAGGGGAGACUGGAAUUCCUGGUGUAGCGGUGAAAUGCGCAGAUAUCAGGAGGAACACCGGUGGCGAAGGCGGUUCUCUGGGCAUUACCUGACGCUGAGGAGCGAAAGUGUGGGGAGCGAACAGG
rnacentral:rRNA from 1 species